rnacentral:rRNA from 1 species
AGUCGAACGGACCCUUUGGGGUUAGUGGCGAACGGGUGAGUAACACGUGGGUGAUCUGCCCUGCACUUUGGGAUAAGCCUGGGAAACUGGGUCUAAUACCGGAUAGGACUACGCACUGCAUGGUGUGUGGUGGAAAGCUUUUGCGGUGUGGGAUGGGCCCGCGGCCUAUCAGCUUGUUGGUGGGGUGAUGGCCUACCAAGGCGACGACGGGUAGCCGGCCUGAGAGGGUGACCGGCCACACUGGGACUGAGAUACGGCCCAGACUCCUACGGGAGGCAGCAGUGGGGAAUAUUGCACAAUGGGCGCAAGCCUGAUGCAGCGACGCCGCGUGAGGGAUGACGGCCUUCGGGUUGUAAACCUCUUUCGCCAGGGACGAAGCGCAAGUGACGGUACCUGGAGAAGAAGGACCGGCCAACUACGUGCCAGCAGCCGCGGUAAUACGUAGGGUCCGAGCGUUGUCCGGAAUUACUGGGCGUAAAGAGCUCGUAGGUGGUUUGUCGCGUUGUUCGUGAAAACUCACAGCUUAACUGUGGGCGUGCGGGCGAUACGGGCAGACUGGAGUACUGCAGGGGAGACUGGAAUUCCUGGUGUAGCGGUGGAAUGCGCAGAUAUCAGGAGGAACACCGGUGGCGAAGGCGGGUCUCUGGGCAGUAACUGACGCUGAGGAGCGAAAGCGUGGGGAGCGAACAGGAUUAGAUACCCUGGUAGUCCACGCCGUAAACGGUGGGUACUAGGUGUGGGUUUCCUUCCUUGGGAUCCGUGCCGUAGCUAACGCAUUAAGUACCCCGCCUGGGGAGUACGGCCGCAAGGCUAAAACUCAAAGGAAUUGACGGGGGCCCGCACAAGCGGCGGAGCAUGUGGAUUAAUUCGAUGCAACGCGAAGAACCUUACCUGGGUUUGACAUGCACAGGACGCCGGCAGAGAUGUCGGUUCCCUUGUGGCCUGUGUGCAGGUGGUGCAUGGCUGUCGUCAGCUCGUGUCGUGAGAUGUUGGGUUAAGUCCCGCAACGAGCGCAACCCUUGUCUCAUGUUGCCAGCACGUUAUGGUGGGGACUCGUGAGAGACUGCCGGGGUCAACUCGGAGGAAGGUGGGGAUGACGUCAAGUCAUCAUGCCCCUUAUGUCCAGGGCUUCACACAUGCUACAAUGGCCGGUACAAAGGGCUGCGAUGCCGUGAGGUGGAGCGAAUCCUUUCAAAGCCGGUCUCAGUUCGGAUCGGGGUCUGCAACUCGACCCCGUGAAGUCGGAGUCGCUAGUAAUCGCAGAUCAGCAACGCUGCGGUGAAUACGUUCCCGGGCCUUGUACACACCGCCCGUCACGUCAUGAAAGUCGGUAACACCCGAAGCCGGUGGCCUAACCCUUGUGGAGGGAGCCGU